AGUGUGCGGUGGGUGAAGCGCCAGUGGCCGGA
rnacentral:scRNA from 1 species